GGCUCAGUCAGUCAGCCAAUCCCCAGCCUGCGGCGCAGUGAAGUCUCCGGGAGCGAGGGGGUUCCCCGGGUCCGCCCUCCGGAGCUGAACCUCGCGCCCCCUCGAGCCUGGAGCUGCCCUCUACCCGGCGGCCAAGCUCAGAGAGUAAAGAUCAGGAAGAAAGAGAUAGAAACAUCAAACAUGAGAGAGAAUCAUCAUUAUGGGUGGCCUCCUGCACGCCCCCGACUGGGCCCGCAACCCGGGCACGUGCCCCAUCGAGCCCUGACCCCCUGGGUCAUAGGUCAGUGCUCACCACUGACCAGCCAGCUGGACAAGGAGGGCUUUCUUUUUUCCCGUUUCCUUGUGGAAUAAAUGAAAACUACAAACUGCCACAAUGCGCUGAAGCACCUUCCCAACUCGUUUCUGGAAAAACCACACUUUAUUGGGUAGACAAACAGGCCUGACUUGAAGGCCUUAGAUUCAGUAACUGUGGAGGGAACAACAGCCGGCAAAAGUGUUUGACUCUGAACAAGGUGGCAGCUGCUGCUGAGGGCAGGGGACGGUCCGUCUGCCCCACUUUGGCCUCCUGUGUUCAGCCAGUGCCCCUCACUGGGCCAGCCAGACCUGGGGUGACUUUUUUUCACUGGGAAGAAGGUGAAUGCUCAGCAGCUGGGCCCUGAGAGGAGCCUGCCUCGCUGGUUAGGCCGGGAAUAAGAGGGUUAACACAGUGCUGCCAGCGCUAGUUAUGUGCCAGGUGCUGCCACACAGGAAGCUGAGACCCUCUGCUGGACUCUAGGAGCAGCUUGGGGGGGGGGGGGCUAUUUAUAGCCAGGAGCCUAGGCUGCUGACCUGGACAUUCCCUGCUGCCACCCAUCCGGGAGCAAGGCCAGUGCCAAGCACACUCCUCCCCUCCUCCCCGUCCUGUUCUUCCCUUACCCAGGCGGCCGGUGUGCUGCAAGGACUUUUUAAAAACAUGCAAUACCUGACUAUUUAGUCAGGGCCACUGACCUCUUUUCCCUGAAGUUGUCAAAUAAAAAUCUGACAACAGCCAACACAACAAUAGCCGUCCAGUGUGAAUGAUUCAAAACUAUACCUUUUUUUU